AGUGAACGCUGGCGGUAGGCCUAACACAUGCAAGUCGAACGGCAGCACAGUAAGAGCUUGCUCUUACGGGUGGCGAGUGGCGGACGGGCGAGGAAUACAUCGGAAUCUACUUUUUCGUGGGGGAUAACGUAGGGAAACUUACGCUAAUACCGCAUACGACCUACGGGUGAAAGCAGGGGAUCUUCGGACCUUGCGCGAUUGAAUGAGCCGAUGUCGGAUUAGCUAGUUGGCGGGGUAAAGGCCCACCAAGGCGACGAUCCGUCGCUGGUCUGAGAGGAUGAUCGGCCACGCUGGAACUGAGACACGGUCCAGACUCCUACGGGAGGCAGCAGUGGGGAAUAUUGGACAAUGGGCGCAAGCCUGAUCCAGCCAUACCGAGUGGGUGAAGAAGGCCUUCGGGUUGUAAAGCCCUUUUGUUGGGAAAGAAAAGCAGCAGGUUAAUACCACGCUGUUCUGACGGUACCCAAAGAAUAAGCACCGGCUAACUUCGUG
rnacentral:rRNA from 1 species